GGUGUUUAUUUUCAUCAUAUCAUGGUCUGUCUUAAAGACUUUGCUCACAUUACCCUUCCUGCGGGUUCUUGCAGAUUUGAUUAUCUACUUGCGGUCUGUGAGCGAGAGAGAUUACUACUUGAGAAAGAGGAACAGAAGGAUAAGCAACAAAAGAAAGGAGGAUGCUACAAUGAUGAUGAUGAUGAUGAUCAGUACUAUUUAGGUGGGGUUGAUCUCAAUCAGAGUUUGAUCACGCCUUCACUGCCUGAUAAGGAGGAAUGGAAGAAAAAACUGAUGGGUUCAUUUUAUGGCUGCUUAUCUUGGCACAAUGAUGUUGUUGUGAAGCCUGUGGUGCAAAGUAAAGCACUAAGCAACACCCCAGAGUCUGUUAUUUCACAUUCCAGUGGUGAUGACAAAGCUUCUUUAAAGUAUGAUGAGGCUGUGGCAGAGAAGGUCAAUAAUUCCAAGAAGCGAAAGAGGGGAAGUAGUAGGGUGCCUAACAACGGUCCAGAACCACCACCAGGACUACCAGUUGAAUUCAGAAAUUUCAUUCUCCAAUUGGCUGGUAAUCGGGCAGUACGUGUUGAGAAAUUGGUGAUUCAAAAGGGGCUUACCAACACAGAUGUAAACAGCACCCAGAAUAGGCUGUCAAUCCCAGCAAGGCUUGUGAGGGAGGAAUUCGUUACGGAAGAAGAGCAUCUUCUACUUUGUCAGCACAAUGGGAAGAAUGUGUGUUCUAUAGAAGUUCCAUUGAUCACACCAAUGAUGGAAGUAGCAAAGGUCCAGCAGGACUUGCAUCUUUAUGAAUAAGCUGGCCCUUUGAAGGGGAAUCAGUCUUGGUGGUGAAAUUGCCAAAUGGCAGUAUAAUGCAUUAAUGCUUUGGUGAAUUCAAAAGUUCAGGUUACUCACUAAAAUAGCAAUCAGGUAAGGUAUGGUAAGGUUUUAGUCAUUUGACAUUUCCAUUAUUACUAUGGAAUAUAGUAUGUAUCAAUGGAAAAUUUGUAUCCUAAUGCAGCAAUAUGUGGCUUUUUUUUUGUCUCAAACACAUCUGUAUAGCCUGCGGAAUUCACAAACAUUAAUUAUUGAGAAACAAGAAACAGGCAGAAAGGUUUUGGAGUUUUAAGAGCCGUGGCCAAAGAUAUUUCUGAAUGGAUUCCAAUAUCGGCUACCUGUAUAGUUAGGAAAAUCUCAGUUUUCACUGCCCACAAAAUAGGAAGUUCUGCAGUAGUAAAAUGCUUACAUCUCGAGAAGAUGCAGUUGUAGUGACUCGGGCAAUGGCGGCAGAGGCACCCAGCCAAGUCUCACAACAAUACACCCCACAUUUGUGUCAACCUUAUCAUAAAAUUUAUAUGUCUUCUCCUUUUCGCAUUAGAGGGACUGCUGCUUGUUCUAUCAACUAUGUUACCAAACUGAUUGUUUUGGCCAUCUAAAUUUGACUCCAUAGACCCAUGGUCAGAUUUAAGUGAAUCAACAGAUAUGCUGGAUUGCUCUGUGAUAUCUUGAAUUUCCAAAGACACUGGGCCAUCUUGUUCUACCUUCAGGUUAAAGUUUCUUUCUUCAAUUUCAAUCUGUGGCUUAACGUUGAUUCCUGAAUCUUCAAUUUGAUAACUUUCCGGCUCUUCAAUAAUUAUACUUGUUCUCCCUUCUUCCAGCUUUACACUUGUACUUGACUUGAGUGGAAAUUUUGCAGCAAGUGCCAUGAAAGCAGAACUGCGAUAGUUGGUCAAUUUCUAUGUUGCAACUAGCAGUUUUUGUUUACUAUGAGAAGGCUUAGAAAAUAAAAGUCGAAAUCUAUAAAAGCAAGAAGUUAGCAGCAAGUGCCUUUGUCUCAUCUGUUCCAUGUAUUCCUUCACUAUUUAUAUCUUGCAUCAGAAGCAUCCAAACUCUAGUUGUCUCAUCAUCAAGUUCAACUUUAGCCCUUGGUUGGCGUUUUCUAAUCUGACCAAAUGCACCUUCAAAAGGCACAAUAGUUCCAUCUUGUUGAUGAAGAACAAUGGCAUUUGUUCCUUGGUUGUGAUAAGCAAUUUGGUUGCUUUCUGCAUUAAUUAUAUUGAGAUGAUUGAACUGUUCUACAAUUUGAUCAAAUGGAGACGGACCACUCCAUGCUUGAUCUGGCAGAGGACCUGCACAUGGUGUUGCCUGACAAAAUAAGCAAAACACAAAUAGUUCUUUAUCUACAAAAUGAUAGUGUGCUUUACAUACCAUUUGCAGUACUGUGCUGCUUUACAACAAAAAUGAUAGUGUGCUUUACAUACCAUAAGCAAAACACAAAUAGUUCUUUAUCUACAAAAAUGAUAGUGUGCUUUUCAAAACACAAUAUAUAUUUGGGGCCUCUGCACCAUUGACUUUGUUCCUUCUUGCUUUCUUUUUUGUUAUUAUUGGGUGAGUGCCAGUUGCCAGAGCUUUAUUUGAUGUAUGGUCACUAUGGUGUGGGAAUGACAACUAGUAAUGCUUCCAUCUUGUAAAUCUGACUGCUUUGGAUUGUUAUUGGUUUAAAAAAUCUUAGAGAACCAAGACAUUAGAAGUUAAGCAGCCACUAGGGUGAUUCUAAAAUUUACCAUCUGCCAGGCUUCUUUAUGAACCAAUAUACUGAGAAAGAAUUUCUAAAUUUAUUGACUGAGUGCUGUUAUGAACUGUCUCGGAAACUAUCAUUAGUUUUAGUGGAUCUUAAUCAGGCUUUGGUUUCAUAUUGGUUAAUGUGCUUUCUUGUAGUCUUGGUGGUGAAAUUUCCAAAUGGCACUAUAAUGCAUUAAUGCUUUGGUGAAUUCAAAAGUUCAGGUUGCUCACAAAAGUAGCAAUCAGGUAAGGUAAGGUAAGGUUUUAGUCAUUUGACAUUUCCAUUAUUACUAUGGAAUAUAGUAUGUAUCAAUGGCAAAUUUGUAUCCUAAUGCAGCAAUAUGUGGCUUUUUUGUCUUGAACACAUCUGUACAGCCUGCGGAAUUCACAAACAUUAAUUACUCAGAAACAAGAAACAAGCAGAAAGGUUUUGGAGUUUUAAGGACUUGCCUUCAGAAGUUUUACCAUCUGUUGUUGAACAACUUCAAAAGUGGGUUCUUAUGGCUGAGGCUAUCAUUGAACAGAAUGAGAAGGAAAAUGCAGCAUUAAAAGAACAAGUAAAACAAUUUGAGUCACGAUAGCCAGAAUAUGAAGCCAAGAUGAACUCAAUGGAGGAGUGUUGGGUGAAGAAAAUUUCACGGUGAGACAAAACUCAUAAGAUUUUGCCCUGAAAGGAAUGACCGAGUAGAUGGAGCAUAAUUCUUAUACUAGAAGUUCACGAAUUUGAUUAUUGACAACACUUUUUUGGUCGACUCUGUCACACAGAGUCUUUCUAGUGUGAUUUGUCUUUUCUAUGCCAAAACUCUGAGAUUUUUCUUACAAUUUCUUCUGUCCUUGACAAAAGAAUCUAAUUAUUACCACUCAUGUUCUUGUAGGGAGAUUUAGCAGUAAAAGACUUCCAUGAAUUGCUCAUUUAGUUGAGUUAUAAGCA